UGGGGAAUCUUGCGCAAUGGGCGAAAGCCUGACGCAGCGACGCCGCGUGAGUGAUGAAGGCCUUCGGGUUGUAAAGCUCUGUGGAGGGAGACGAAUAAGUGGAGGCUAAUCACUCCAUGAUGACGGUAUCCCUUUAGCAAGCACCGGCUAACUCUGUGCCAGCAGCCGCGGUAAUACAGAGGGUGCAAACGUUGUUCGGAAUUACUGGGCGUAAAGCGAGUGUAGGCGGUGAAGUAAGUCAGAUGUGAAAUCCCACGGCUCAACCAUGGAAGUGCAUUUGAUACUGCUUCGCUUGAGUACUGGAGAGGUUGGUGGAAUUCUUGGUGUAGAGGUGAAAUUCGUAGAUAUCAAGAGGAACACCGGUGGCGAAGGCGGCCAACUGGACAGAUACUGACGCUGAGACUCGAAAGUGCGGGGAGCAAACA
rnacentral:rRNA from 1 species